rnacentral:rRNA from 1 species
UACGAAGGGGGCUAGCGUUGUUCGGAAUCACUGGGCGUAAAGCGCGCGUAGGCGGGUCGUUAAGUCGGGGGUGAAAUCCCGAGGCUCAACCUCGGAACUGCCUUCGAUACUGGCGACCUUGAGUCCGGGAGAGGUGAGUGGAACUCCUAGUGUAGAGGUGAAAUUCGUAGAUAUUCGGAAGAACACCAGUGGCGAAGGCGGCUCACUGGCCCGGUACUGACGCUGAGGUGCGAAAGCGUGGGGAGCAAACAGG